GCCGGUUAGCUCAGUUGGUAGAGCGCUCCGCUUAAAAUCGAGAGGUCCCUGGUUCGAUACCAGGUCCAGGCA
rfam:Ixodes scapularis strain Wikel colony gcontig_1108378393560, whole genome shotgun sequence.